AUGGCUAUUGGUAUCAAUCGUGUGCAUUUUUUCAUUGCAUUGCUAUGCAUUGCAUGUGUUUUGAUUCCAGGAGAAGCAGCUGCUCAAUGGAUUUAUUGCAUUGGCCAAGGUCCAUGUCCAAAUAAAGAUCAAGAUUGUAACAAUUAUUGUUUAACAAAUAAGUUUCCAAAAGGUGGAAAGUGUAUUGCAAAACAAUGUUGUUGUGAUGGAUAA